AUUGAACGCUGGCGGCAGGCCUAACACAUGCAAGUCGAGCGGAUGAAGGGAGCUUGCUCCUGGAUUCAGCGGCGGACGGGUGAGUAAUGCCUAGGAAUCUGCCUGGUAGUGAGGGAUAACGUCCGGAAACGGGCGCUAAUACCGCAUACGUCCUGAGGGAGAAAGUGGGGGAUCUUCGGACCUCACGCUAUCAGAUGAGCCUAGGUCGGAUUAGCUAGUUGGUGGGGUAAAGGCCUACCAAGGCGACGAUCCGUAACUGGUCUAAGAGGAUGAUUAGUCACACUGGAACUGAGACACGGUCCAGACUCCUACGGGAGGCAGCAGUGGGGAAUAUUGGACAAUGGGCGAAAGCCUGAUCCAGCCAUGCCGCGUGUGUGAAGAAGGUCUUCGGAUUGUAAAGCACUUUAAGUUGGGAGGAAGGGCAGUAAGUUAAUACCUUGCUGUUUUGACGUUACCAACAGAAUAAGCACCGGCUAACUUCGUG
rnacentral:rRNA from 1 species